rnacentral:lncRNA from 1 species
AGGUGAAAAAUAUUAUUAGAAAAUAUUAGCCAGGUGUGCCUUGUUUAAAUGUGAAAUAAAAAGUAUUUAGAUAAUGGAAAUGGAAGGAUAUAAUUAUAAAUGGAAAGAUCUGUAAGCAGCGAGGUCUACUUGAAGUGCUUUAUGAUAUAUUUCGUCUUCCUCUACCUGUUGUGACUGAGGAGUUCAUAGAAGCACUACUCAGUGUAGAUCCAGGGAGGUUCCAAGACAGUUGGAGGCUUUCAGAUGGCUUUGUGGCAGCUGAGGCAAAAACUAUUCUUCCUCAUCGUGCCAGAUCCAGGCCAGACCUCAUGGAUAAUUAUUUGGCACUGAUACUCUCUGCAUUUAUUCGUAAUGGACUUUUAGAGGGUCUAGUUGAAGUGAUAACAAACAGUGAUGAUCAUAUCUCAGUUAGAGCUACCAUCCUUUUAGGAGAGCUUUUACAUAUGGCAAACACAAUUCUUCCUCAUUCACAUAGCCAUCAUUUACACUGCUUGCCAACCCUAAUGAAUAUGGCUGCAUCCUUUGAUAUCCCCAAGGAAAAGAGACUGCGAGCCAGUGCAGCCUUGAACUGUUUAAAACGCUUCCAUGAAAUGAAGAAACGAGGACCUAAGCCUUAUAGUCUUCAUUUAGACCACAUU